rnacentral:lncRNA from 1 species
GUUCGGGUUUACCGAUUGCUGGCAGAGUUUUCUUGACGUUCGUGCGCUCCGAAAUUAUAGCUUUUGCCCACAACUCGCCGACGACAACUCGUGUGCAUUCCCCGUCGUCAGACCUUCCCGUUUUCUUAGGUGGAUUUUCCUCAAGAAUUGCAAAACUCAAUCUCGCAAUGCACGCCACAACUUUUCCUCUCCUCCUCUUGGGACUCGUCCUCGCUUUAACCUCCAUAGCAACCAAACAGGCACAAGGAAUACUCAUCUACCCGGAUGAUGGAAGUUCAGAAAAUGAGACGAAUCCACUAAGACCUCUCUUGAUAACCAACACCGAAGAAGACCGAGGCAAAGAGACACUGAAGGAGGUUGUACGGAGUCAAGUUGCUACGCUUCUUUCACAUACGGAUGAGAAAGUUCGUUCAGAUAUGUUAUUCACCCAUUUGUUGGCAUUGGAGACAAGACUUCAACAAGUUAUUGAAGAAAAGGGGAGGCUUUCUGCUAUAAAUGAACGCUACCAAAAAGAGCUCUCGCUGAUCAUCGCGAUGGAUAUUAUUGUGUGGAUAGAGAACAAUUACAGUUCUGGGUACAAUAACACCGGGAAUGUGUUACGGGGUCAAAAUGUGAGGAAAGCAAAAUGGACCUUCAUGUUCGAACAUCGCCGUGAUGAGAGGCCAAUUAAAUACAUCUUAGACAAAAUCAAUGCGGAGGAUAAAAGUUACAAUAAGGAAAAAAUAGUAAAUGAAAUCGUUGAAAUUGAGGAAAUAUUAAAUAAACAAGAAAAGAUCUUCGUGACAGAAGUUGCAAAGGCGGGAUCUUUUUUCAACCAGCGAAAAUAUAAAUUUAUACUCCAAAGAACUUCAUCAGACGUGCCUCUGCUCUUUGAUACACGUGUGCCUCCAAACAUAAUAAGGACAGCUACUAUAUUAGAGGAGGCGUACGUCGAAGAGUUACUUCGUCGUUACUUACCACCAGAACAAUAGGAAAUCAAUAAGUUGAUGGCAUCAACUUAUCUUAACUGGUAAGUUGUCAUAAACCGAUAAACCCACUUUUUCAUUUCCUUUCAAAAUUCAGACACUCUCAAAUUAUUCGUAUGAUAUACGGAAUUCUCCAUGCCAACGAGUUCGAUUCUUGUGUAUUUUUCGCUUAAAAGGGGUAAGGUGCAAAACGGGCCAUUUCACGCUCGUGUCGCAUACCAUUGAAACUUGCCCUAUUCAUUCAUCUAACUAUGCCCUAUGUUUUCCCAAAGUUUCAAGUCCCCAAAAAAUUUUGGGGGGAAGUGGCGGGGGGUCAAAGUUUAAAAUCCGCGAAUUUUUUACUCGAAAACUAUUAAAUAUUUCGAAACACGGUUUAAACGAGCGUUUUCAGCGUGAAAAGAGCUUUCAGAAAAUGUAUAAUAAUGUAGGGUUUCGUUGACUUACAAAAACUCGAGUUAUCGCCUCCGAAGCGCCGGAACGCUAAAAAAUAACCCGUUUUUUGUCACGUUUGGGCCGAUCCCCAAAAUACGUCAUUUUUAAUUUAUUUGAAAAACUGAUAUGUUGUUUCUGAC